rnacentral:rRNA from 1 species
GACAGAGGAUGCAAGCGUUAUCCGGAAUGAUUGGGCGUAAAGCGUCUGUAGGUGGCUUUUCAAGUCCGCCGUCAAAUCCCAGGGCUCAACCCUGGACAGGCGGUGGAAACUACCAAGCUGGAGUACGGUAGGGGCAGAGGGAAUUUCCGAUGGAGCGGUGAAAUGCAUUGAGAUCGGAAAGAACAACCAACGGCCGAAAGCCACUCUAGCUGG